AUUCAGAAGAAAUCGCGAGCGUUCCAAAGGUUCAGACUCGCUCCGGUUCUCCAGGCUGUGCGCGAGCGCGCGUGAGAGAGAGAGCUGCUUUAUUUAUCAGAGGAGAGGACAACAUUCGUCCGUUUAGCGUAAAUUUUAUGGUAGUUUCUCCUGUUUCAUAUUUAUAUUAAGGUUUGUAAAACAAAAACAGGGUUGCUAUUCUAGCUGAGCUGGAUAAGGAGAAGAGACGCCUGAUACAGAGUCAGUCUAUGAAUAACCCAGGAGCCAGCAUCCCCCUCUCUCGACCAGCUGUGAAGGAGUUCAGGGAUCAGGCCGAGCAGCAGCACAGCAGAAAGCAGCUUUACAGAUCUUUUUCCCGUCUGGGACUUUCCCCCUCUUCCCAAAAGCCACGGCUCCGUUCAGAUCCUCCUCGCUGAAGAAGUGCUCGAACAGCAGGUGGAAGAGUCUCAUGCUGUCCUGCCGGGACUCCUGCAGCAUGGAC